GCCGCUGUAGCACAAUGGUAGUGCGUUGCUUUCCUACAAUGUUAUUCCUAGGCAAAGGUUGUGGGUUCGAUCCCCAUCAGCGGUU